CUUGUACUCCCUCCGUCCUGAAAUACUUGUCGGGGAAAUGGAUGUAUCUAGACAUAUUUUAGUUCUAGAUACAUUCAUUUUUAUGCAUUUUUUCGACAAGUAUUUUCGAACAGAGGGAGUACAUC
rnacentral:pre_miRNA from 1 species